GAUGAACGCUGGCGGCGUGCCUAAUACAUGCAAGUCGAGCGAACGGACGAGAAGCUUGCUUCUCUGAUGUUAGCGGCGGACGGGUGAGUAACACGUGGAUAACCUACCUAUAAGACUGGGAUAACUUCGGGAAACCGGAGCUAAUACCGGAUAAUAUUUUGAACCGCAUGGUUCAAAAGUGAAAGACGGUCUUGCUGUCACUUAUAGAUGGAUCCGCGCUGCAUUAGCUAGUUGGUAAGGUAACGGCUUACCAAGGCAACGAUGCAUAGCCGACCUGAGAGGGUGAUCGGCCACCCUGGAACUGAGACACGGUCCAGACUACUACGGGAGGCAGCAGUAGGGAAUCGUCCGCAAUGGGCGAAAGCCUGACGGAGCAACGCCGCGUGAGUGAUGAAGGUCUUCGGAUCGUAAAACUCUGUUAUUAGGGAAGAACAUAUGUGUAAGUAACUGUGCACAUCUUGACGGUACCUAAUCAGAAAGCCACGGCUAACUACGUG
rnacentral:rRNA from 1 species